GAUGAACGCUGGCGGCGUGCUUAACACAUGCAAGUCGAACGGAAAGGCCCAAGCUUGCUUGGGUACUCGAGUGGCGAACGGGUGAGUAACACGUGGGUGAUCUGCCCUGCACUUCGGGAUAAGCCUGGGAAACUGGGUCUAAUACCGGAUAGGACCACAUUUUGGAUGGUGUGGUGGAAAGUUUUUCGGUGUGGGAUGAGCUCGCGGCCUAUCAGCUUGUUGGUGGGGUAAUGGCCUACCAAGGCGUCGACGGGUAGCCGGCCUGAGAGGGUGUACGGCCACAUUGGGACUGAGAGACGGCCCAGACUCCUACGGGAGGCAGCAGUGGGGAAUAUUGCACAAUGGGCGCAAGCCUGAUGCAGCGACGCCGCGUGGGGGAGGACGGCCUUCGGGUUGUAAACGCCUUUCGCUAGGGACGAAGCGUUAUGUGACGGUACCUGGAGAAGAAGCACCGGCUAACUACGUG
rnacentral:rRNA from 1 species